rnacentral:tRNA from 1 species
GUGCCCGUAGCUCAAUUGGAUAGAGCGCCAGACUACGGAUCUGGAGGUUAGGGGUUCAAAUCCUCUCGGGCGCGCCA